rnacentral:rRNA from 1 species
GAGCAGUGGGCGCAGCCUGAUGCAGCGACGCCGCGUGAGGGAUGACGGCCUUCGGGUUGUAAACCUCUUUCAGUAGGGAAGAAGCGAAAGUGACGGUACCUGCAGAAGAAGCGCCGGCUAACUACGUGCCAGCAGCCGCGGUAAUACGUAGGGCGCAAGCGUUAUCCGGAAUUAUUGGGCGUAAAGAGCUCGUAGGCGGUUUGUCGCGUCUGCCGUGAAAGUCCGGGGCUACUCCGGAUCUGCCGUGGGGACGGCAGAAAAACUAGAGUGAUGUAGGGGAGACUGGAAUUCCUGGUGUAGCGGUGAAAUGCGCAGAUAUCAGGAGGAACACCGAUGGCGAAGGCAGGUCUCUGGGCAUUAACUGACGCUGAGGAGCGAAAGCAUGGGGAGCGAACAGGAUUAGAUACCCUGGUAGUCCAUGCCGUAAACGUUGGGCACUAGGUGUGGGGGACAUUCCACGUUUUCCGCGCCGUAGCUAACGCAUUAAGUGCCCCGCCUGGGGAGUACGGCCGCAAGGCUAAAACUCAAAGGAAUUGACGGGGGCCCGCACAAGCGGCGGAGCAUGCGGAUUAAUUCGAUGCAACGCGAAGAACCUUACCAAGGCUUGACAUGGACCGGACCGCCGCAGAAAUGUGGUUUCCCCUUUGGGGCCGGUUUACAGGUGCUGCAUGGCUGUCAAAA